rnacentral:rRNA from 1 species
GACGAACGCUGGCGGCGUGCCUAAUACAUGCAAGUAGAACGCACAGUUUAUACCGUAGCUUGCUACACCAUAAACUGUGAGUUGCGAACGGGUGAGUAACGCGUAGGUAACCUGCCUGGUAGCCGGGGAUAACUAUUGGAAACGAUAGCUAAUACCGCAUAAUAUUGAUUAUUGCAUGAUAAUUGAUUGAAAGAUGCUAUUGCAUCACUACCAGAUGGACCUGCGUUGUAUUAGCUAGUAGGUGAGGUAACGGCUCACCUAGGCGACGAUACAUAGCCGACCUGAGAGGGUGAUCGGCCACACUGGGACUGAGACACGGCCCAGACUCCUACGGGAGGCAGCAGUAGGGAAUCUUCGGCAAUGGACGAAAGUCUGACCGAGCAACGCCGCGUGAGUGAAGAAGGGUUUCGGAUCGUAAAGCUCUGUUGUAAGAGAAGAACGGGUGUGAGAGUGGAAAGUUCACACUGUGACGGUAUCUUACCAGAAAGGGACGGCUAACUACGUG